rnacentral:lncRNA from 1 species
AAACAAUGUGCUGAAGCGAUGAUUGCUUUCAUCUAAGCCGUUGUUUAUUUUAAACCUGUAGAAGAGCUGUUUGAUUUCUGUCAGAGGUUCCAACAGAAAUGGGUGUUCCUGAGUAAAAUGUUUUAUGGAACAUCUGGAAACAUUGUGGACGCAGACCUGUUGGAAACAUUUCAGUCUUUAGGCAUCAAGUUCCAGGAGAUGACUCUGAAAAUAUUAAUUGAUCCACAUGUGCUGAAUUUUGUACGACCCAAGACAAAUGAGUCAAAUUGUCACUUCUGUGGGAGCAACUUGCGUAAGAUGUUCACUAAUGGCUUAUCCAUUAUGGACAAAAUUUCCAGUAGGAUGCAUAAUUUCCUAGAUUAUGCACGAGAAGAGUUUCCCAGGCUCUGCUUCCUCAGUGAUGAUGAGGUGAUUAAACUUUUGUCACUGAAUCCAAUGUCCUCUGCGCUAUUGGCAUUAGCACGCAAGAGCUUUCAGGGGAUAUGCAGCUUUAAAGUUGCCAGCACUGGAGACAUGCAUGAGAAGCACAAUUUGACCAAUGAUUACACUGGACCAGAAUGUUCAGACAGUAAUCUUCGCCUGCUUGGUGUAUUUGGUGCUCUUAAGGAAUAUGUGCCUUUUCUCCAACCUCUGGAACCAAACAUCAACCCAUUUCAUUGGCUUGGUCUGUUAGAACAAAAGCUACAACAAACAAUGAUGCAGCUAUUGAGAAAAUGCAUGAUUGCAUAUCAACAGUGUGGGUCCACAUGCCACUAUCAAGAAUCCACCAGAGAUAAUUUAUCACCUGACCCAUCUCACUUUACAAGUCCAACUGGCAAGGAAAAAGAAACUGAGUUCAGUGGCCUACAUGAAAUACUCAACCUGAUACCCCAGUUCCCUGUACAGUGCCUUCUGGUGUGUGAGGAAGCCAUGUGGUGCAAAGACAUAAGAAACAGCUCCAUGAACUCUGAUGGAUGCAAGUGGACACAUGUUAAGGCCAGAAAUUCUGCCAAACUUCAGCAUUUGUGUCAUGCAAUUCAGAAC